CAGUAGCCGCGGUAAUACGAAGGGUGCAAGCGUUAAUCGGAAUUACUGGGCGUAAAGCGUGCGUAGGCGGAUGGCACAGUCAGAUGUGAAAUUCCCGGGCUUAACCUGGGGGCUGCAUUUGAUACGUGUUGUCUAGAGUGAGGAAGAGGGUCGUGGAAUUCCCAGUGUAGAGGUGAAAUUCGUAGAUAUUGGGGAGAACACCGGUGGCGAAGGCGGCGACCUGGUCCUUGACUGACGCUGAGGCGCGAAAGCGUGGGGAGCAAACAGGAUUAGAUACCCGAGUAGUCCCUGUCUCUUAUAC
rnacentral:rRNA from 1 species